GACGAACGCUGGCGGCGUGCUUAACACAUGCAAGUCGAACGGAAAGGCCCUGCUUUUGUGGGGUGCUCGAGUGGCGAACGGGUGAGUAACACGUGAGUAACCUGCCCUUGACUUUGGGAUAACUUCAGGAAACUGGGGCUAAUACCGGAUAGGAGCUCCUGCUGCAUGGUGGGGGUUGGAAAGUUUCGGCGGUUGGGGAUGGACUCGCGGCUUAUCAGCUUGUUGGUGGGGUAGUGGCUUACCAAGGCUUUGACGGGUAGCCGGCCUGAGAGGGUGACCGGCCACAGUGGGACUGGGAUACGGCCCAGACUCCUACGGGAGGCAGCAGUGGGGAAUAUUGCACAAUGGGCGGAAGCCUGAUGCAGCAACGCCGCGUGCGGGAUGACGGCCUUCGGGUUGUAAACCGCUUUCGCCUGUGACGAAGCGUGAGUGACGGUAAUGGGUAAAGAAGCACCGGCUAACUACGUG
rnacentral:rRNA from 1 species